UACGUAGGGUGCGAGCGUUAAUCGGAAUUACUGGGCGUAAAGCGUGCGCAGGCGGCGCGUUAAGACAGGUGUGAAAGCCCCGAGCUUAACUUGGGAAUUGCGCUUGUGACUGGCGUGCUGGAGUGUGGCAGAGGGAGGUGGAAUUCCACGUGUAGCAGUGAAAUGCGUAGAGAUGUGGAGGAACACCGAUGGCGAAGGCAGCCUCCUGGGCCAGCACUGACGCUCAUGCACGAAAGCUGGGGGAGCAAACCGG
rnacentral:rRNA from 1 species